UCCCUACAUAUUGAUGUCCCUGAGUGACUCAUUGCCCCUAUCUGAGCCUCCGUUUCCCCUCCAAGUGAGUGAACUGAUGUCCAGAAGUGGGUGGAUGGACCAAAGCUGCCUGUGACAUUGAGUCCCACCUCCAGGCCUUUGCACAGGACACCGAUGACCCGAUGACCCGGUGCUGUGACUGGCUGGUAGCCUCGUGCUCACCGCACACAGUAGGUGUUUGGUAACCCACGUGUACUCCCCACCCCCCACCCUAUCCCGCCGACUGUGCCGCCCCCAGUCGGCGUUUACUUUCCCCGGCCCAGCCGCCUGGUGUCGGCGCGGAGCCUGGCGGGCGGCCCGGUGUAAACAUUUACACGGAGCCGGGCUGGACGCUGUCAGCGCCACGCCUGGGCUCGGCCCGCCGGUCGCCCGGCGCUGCCCGGGGAUUGAUUUGCAUGCGAUUUGCAUGUCAUCUGCAUGCGAUUUGCAUGGGGCAGCCCGUGUGGACACGUGCAGAGACUGGGACCACCCCUUCACCCGCACCGCCUGUCCCUAUGGAUUCGCCAGCACAGGAACUGCACCCACCAGAUAGUAACAGAUGUUUAUUAAGCACCGGCUGUGUACCAGGCUCAGUGCUUGAGCCCACGAGAAAGGCAUGAGCAUCUCCAUUUUACAGCUGGGGAAACCAAGGUACGAAACAGGUUGGCGCUUGUCCGAGGGCAUUCGGCUAUGUAACAUAAUCCUAGACCAGCCUGAGGGUCUAAUGAAAGUCACCUGGAGGCGGGAGGUUGCUGCUCCCCCAAGGCCAACCCAGCUGGUUCACUGGCACAUAAUUAAGUGCUCAAUAGACAGUUGCUGAAUGAAUGAAUGAACACAAAGAAGCUAGGCACUGAGUGGCUCAGAUCCCAAAUGGAAGGGUCCAGGGUUUCACAUCUGUUGCUCUAAUAUGGCACCAGCCCCAUUCCGGAAACCCACCCUCGUUUAUUAAGCACUGACUGUAUACUAAGCCCGGAGACUUCAACUAUCAUUUCUUUUUCAUCCUCCCAAUAAAUCCAUCCAUCCAUUCA